rnacentral:rRNA from 1 species
GUGAGUUGAUGAAGGCCUUUGGGUUGUAAAGCUCUUUCGGCGGGGACGAUGGUGACGGUACCCGCAGAAGAAGCCCCGGCUAACUUCGUGCCAGCAGCCGCGGUAAUACGAAGGGGGCUAGCGUUGUUCGGAAUCACUGGGCGUAAAGGGCGCGUAGGCGGUUGCCAUAGUCAGGUGUGAAAGCCUUGAGCUUAACUCAAGAAAUGCACUUGAUACUGGGCGACUAGAGGACCGGAGAGGAUAGUGGAAUUCCCAGUGUAGAGGUGAAAUUCGUAGAUAUUGGGAAGAACACCGGUGGCGAAGGCGGCCAUCUGGACCGGUACUGACGCUGAGGCGCGAAAGCGUGCGGAGCAAACAGGAUUAGAUACCCUGGUAGUCCACGCCGUAAACGAUGAGUGCUAGACGUUGGCGAGCUUGCUCGUCAGUGUCGCAGCUAACGCUUUAAGCACUCCGCCUGGGGAGUACGGUCGCAAGAUUAAAACUCAAAGGAAUUUGACGGGA